CAAAACAAGAGAGAGCAAGAAGAAGAGGGCUCGGGUUUGGCUUGGAAAAAUCACCCCCAAAAAUAUUGCUCCUAAAAUUUUUCUCUUGGUGAAUUUCUACUAAGUUGAGGUCCCUUUAUAACUUGGUGUAGUUGCUUUGGAAGAAAGAACACUUGGUGCCUCAAUUUGAUCACUUAUUCAAGUGAAGAAGACUAGAAAAUAAGAUUUUCGACGAAACGGAGAGUGAGCUCGGAUAGGCUUAAAAAGCUCAAAAGGUACCGACGACAGGUUUGCUGAUCCGUCCGCUUAGGAUCUCAUUCUGCUAUUUUUGGAGCGCUCUUUUAUUCAGAGCCAUCUUUUGGUAUAGUCUGUCACUUCUAUAUAUGUAUAUCCUCGUUCAUGGGUACGGCGGGGCCCUGUCCCGUCAUAUGAUUCUGUCGGUCUGUUAGAGGUCUGUGGACAUGUUUGUGGGUUGGGAUUCUUCCUGUACAGCUGUGUGUAUAUGUUGUGUUUGGGCGAUCCCAUUCGCCGCGGCGGCCGGUCCGCAUAUAUUUAAAUAUUACUCUGUUGGCCCUGUGUG